rnacentral:rRNA from 1 species
GUAGUCAUAUGCUUGUCUCAAAGAUUAAGCCAUGCAUGUGUAAGUAUAAGCGAUUGUACUGUGAGACUGCGAACGGCUCAUUAUAUCAGUAAUAAUUUCUUCGGUAGUUUCUUUUAUAUGGAUACCUGCAGUAAUUCUGGAAAUAAUACAUGCUGUAAGAGCCCUGUAUGGGGCUGCACUUAUUAGAUUGAAGCCGAUUUUAUUGGUGAAUCAUGAUAAUUGAGCAGAUUGACUUUUUUGUCGAUGAAUCGUUUGAGUUUCUGCCCCAUCAGUUGUCGACGGUAGUGUAUUGGACUACGGUGACUAUAACGGGUGACGGAGAGUUAGGGCUCGACUCCGGAGAGGGAGCCUGAGAGACGGCUACCAUAUCCAAGGAUAGCAGCAGGCGCGUAAAUUACCCACUGUGGACUCCACGAGGUAGUGACGAGAAAUAUCGAUGCGAAGCGUGUAUGCGUUUUGCUAUCGGAAUGAGAGCAAUGUAAAACCCUCAUCGAGGAUCAACUGGAGGGCAAGUCUGGUGCCAGCAGCCGCGGUAAUUCCAGCUCCAGAAGCAUAUGCUAAAGUUGUUGCAGUUAAAAAGCUCGUAGUUGAAUUUCUGGCAUGGGCGACCGGUGCUUUCCCUGAAUGGGGAUUGAUUGUCUGUGUUGCCUUGGCCAUCUUUCUCAUGCUAUUUUUGGUAUGAGAUCUUUCACUGUAAUCAAAGCAGAGUGUUCCAAGCAGGUCGUAUGACCGGUAUGUUUAUUAUGGGAUGAUAAGAUAGGACUUGGGUGCUAUUUUGUUGGUUUGCACGCCUGAGUAAUGGUUAAUAGGAAUAGUUGGGGGUAUUCGUAUUUAGGAGCUAGAGGUGAAAUUCUUGGAUUUCCGAAAGACGAACUAGAGCGAAGGCAUUUACCAAGCAUGUUUUCAUUAAUCAAGAACGAAAGUCUGGGGAUCGAAGAUGAUUAGAUACCAUCGUAGUCUAGACCGUAAACGAUGCCGACUUGCGAUUGUUGGGUGCUUUAUUAAUGGGCCUCAGCAGCAGCACAUGAGAAAUCAAAGUCUUUGGGUUCCGGGGGGAGUAUGGUCGCAAGGCUGAAACUUAAAGGAAUUGACGGAAGGGCACCACCAGGAGUAGAGCCUGCGGCUUAAUUUGACUCAACACGGGAAAACUUACCAGGUCCAGACAUAGGUAGGAUUGACAGAUUGAGAGCUCUUUCAUGAUUCUAUGGGUGGUGGUGCAUGGCCGUUCUAAGUUGGUGGAGUGAUUUGUCUGGUUAAUUCCGUUAACGAACGAGACCUCGGCCUACUAAAUAGUGCGUGGUAUGGCAACAUAGUACGUUUUUACUUCUUAGAGGGACAUGUCCGGUUUACGGGCAGGAAGUUCGAGGCAAUAACAGGUCUGUGAUGC